rnacentral:rRNA from 1 species
UACGAAGGGGGCUAGCGUUGCUCGGAAUCACUGGGCGUAAAGGGCGCGUAGGCGGCCAUUCAAGUCGGAGGUGAAAGCCCAGGGCUCAACCCUGGAAUUGCCUUCGAUACUGUUUGGCUAGAGACCGGAAGAGGUAAGUGGAACUGCGAGUGUAGAGGUGAAAUUCGUAGAUAUUCGCAAGAACACCAGUGGCGAAGGCAGCUCGCUGGGACGGUACUGACGCUGAGACGCGAAAGCGUGGGGAGCAAACAGG